GGCCGACUCAAAGAUGCCAGAUGCCCAGUCAGGUUAUGAGAAGGGAAGCACGGCAGUUAUGGCCGGAUUGGCCGGCCUCAACAUGGUUUAUGAGGCC
rnacentral:ncRNA from 1 species